UGAGGAAUAUUGGACAAUGGGCGCAAGCCUGAUCCAGCCAUGCCACGUGCAGGAAGAAGCAUCUAUGGUGUGUAAACUGCUUUUGUACGGGAAGAAACACUCCUACGUGUAGGAGCUUGACGGUAUCGUAAGAAUAAGGAUCGGCUAACUCCGUGCCAGCAGCCGCGGUAAUACGGAGGAUCCAAGCGUUAUCCGGAAUCAUUGGGUUUAAAGGGUCCGUAGGCGGUUUAAUAAGUCAGUGGUGAGAGCCCAUCGCUCAACGAUGGAACGGCCAUUGAUACCGUUAGACUUGAAUUACAAGGAAGUAACUAGAAUAUGUAGUGUAGCGGUGAAAUGCUUAGAUAUUACAUGGAAUACCAAUUGCGAAGGCAGGUUACUACUUGUGGAUUGACGCUGAUGGACGAAAGCGUGGGGAGCGAACA
rnacentral:rRNA from 1 species